rnacentral:rRNA from 1 species
UUCGUAGGUGGUGCGGCAAGUUGGAAGUGAAAUCUCUGGGCUUAACCCAGAGGCUGCUUUCAAAACUGCCGCGCUCGAGUGCGAGAGAGGUCAGUGGAAUUGCAGGUGUAGCGGUGAAAUGCGUAGAUAUCUGCAGGAACACCCGUGGCGAAGGCGGCUGACUGGGUCGCAACUGACACUGAGGAACGAAAGCUAGGGGAGCAAACAGGAUUAGAUACCCUGGUAGUCCUAGCCCUAAACCAUCGGAACUUGGGGUGGCCCGCGUAGGCGGGUCGUCCCGUAGCUAACGCGUUAAGUUCCGCGCCUGGGGAGUACGGUCGCAAGACUGAA